UACGGAGGGUCCAAGCGUUAUCCGGAAUCAUUGGGUUUAAAGGGUCCGUAGGCGGUUUAAUAAGUCAGUGGUGAAAGCCCAUCGCUCAACGGUGGAACGGCCAUUGAUACUGUUAAACUUGAAUUAUUAGGAAGUAACUAGAAUAUGUAGUGUAGCGGUGAAAUGCUUAGAGAUUACAUGGAAUACCAAUUGCGAAGGCAGGUUACUACUAAUGGAUUGACGCUGAUGGACGAAAGCAUGGGUAGCGAACAGG
rnacentral:rRNA from 1 species